AAGGAUUUAAGUUAAAUAAACUAUUAACCUUCAAAGUUAAAAAUGGGGCAGCCUAAGCCUUA
rnacentral:tRNA from 1 species